GUACCCCGUUACGACCUCACCCCAAUCACCAGCCCCACCUUCGACAGCUGCCCCCCCUUCGGGGUAGCCCACCGGCUUCGGGUGUUGCCGGCUCUCAAGGGGUGACGGGCGGUGUGUACAAGGCCCGGGAACGUAUUCACCGCGACAAUCUGAUUCGCGAUUACUAGCAACUCCAGCUUCAUGCAGGCGAGUUGCAGCCCGCAAACCGAACCGGGACCACUUUUAUAAGAGUUGCUCCGCAUCGCUGCCUCGCUUCUCUCUGUAAUGGCCAUUGUAGUACGUGUGUAGUCCAGAGCAUAAGUGUCAUUUUUUUUUUUCGUCAUCCCCACCUUUCUCCAGUGUUACCCUGUUAGUCUCGUUAGAGUUC
rnacentral:rRNA from 1 species